ensembl:lncRNA
AGAAUGUGAAAGAGUAUUCAUUCAUUUUUUGACCACAAUAUGUUGAAUAACAGAAUUUGCAAUAAAAACAGUUUGGGAAAAGACAAGAUACAUUUUCUGUGUAGCAGCCAUAUGUCUGACUAUGUCAAACAAAGUUACGGAACUUAAAUCUAUAUAUAUAGACUUUUUGGAACAAAAUUAUGCAGUUACAUGACUCCGUUCUUUUGGAAUGUUUUUCCACAGAUUUUAUUACACUAUGACAUCAUUACACCAUGCCACAGAGAGCUGCUGACACAAGGAGCCCAGGGCUUUCCUGGAAGGUACUGGAUGAUUCCCACUGACAUCAGUGUAGCCAGAUCAUGUGUUUGGUAA